rnacentral:lncRNA from 1 species
GGUUAAAUUGGUAUUAAAAAAAGUUGGGGCGUGGAAAUGAAUUGCAAACUAUUUAACCGUCGUCCCACUCGAUUAUGACGCAAUCUGACUUAUUUUUCAAAUUGGGGAAAAACGAAACCCUAAUUCUUUAUCGAUCACGAUCCACUUCUCUUCUUCCUGCAUUUCCCUUCUGCGUAACUGGAUCUCGGUUGCAACCAGAAUAACUUCUUCGAUAUUGAUACACUUACUAUUUUCUUCUAUUUAACAAUUUUCGAUCCGAUCGCGCCUGAAAGAGAAUAAGGUAAUUUUUGGUGUUUGUUUUUUUUCUAUCGGACCUACAUAUUUUUGCGUUAAUAUUGAACGUAAAAACUAAUUUUCUUGUUUGUGUCUUCGUGUUUUUCUUUUUCCCCUCCUUUGUUUUGUCAUUUUUUGGGGAUAUUUUGUCGAUUGUCCCUUUCCUCUGUUCAACAUCUGGAAAAUGCCAGAAAUCACCAUUCCUGUUUAUCUUUAUUUUUACCUUUAAUUUUUAGCAAGACGAUCGCAUAGCGGAGUGGAUAUCGCGUUAGACUCCGAAUCUAAAGGUCGUGGGUUCGAAUCCCACUGUGAUCGUAAUUUCUUAUUUUUGUGCUAGUGUUCUUGAUUUCUUUUUUAACUUCCAUUUUCAAGAUAGAUAUGCAAAGAAAUUGUGAAAAAAUAGAAAAAUAAAUAAAUAAAAUGAAUGAAAUAAGUCAUUUCCUGGCAUUUUCAUGUGGUGAACACUGAACAAGUAAUAUAGAUAAAGUAACAAAUCACAAAAGCACCAAAUUUUAUAAAUAUAUCAAAUAUUUGAAUAUUUUAUUGUGGUGAAAGAACCAGUAAACUAUAUUAUCAAUUCAUAAAAUCAUUAUUAUCUCAAAAAAAAAAAAAAUCAUUUCCAAUGCCUCCCACAAAUAUAUAAAAGAAAGAGGAUGAUUCAUAUCCAAUGAGAAACCUUCCAAUUAAGAAAUAGACUACACAUAUAUUUAUUUAUGAUUAAACAUAUACUAUAUGUUUAUUGAAAAUGAAACAUUAUUUGCAGAGAGGAAUUAAAUACUUUAUGUAGUUCCCCACUUAACCACUAAAGGCUGAUUUACUAGACAUAUCCCUACACAAAUACACACACUAUAUGGUGAAAAUUACACACAGUCCCACCUCGAAACCAAACCUGUGUUGUUUGAGAUUGUUUCUCUGUUUUAAGGUACACGAUUCUGAGUGUAGAUGUAAUCCAAAUGAGCCUCCAAAACAGCCCUUCUCAUCAAACACUCUUCCUCUCCAUUUCCACAUUCCUCCACUCCCAUCACCUUCUGCCACACAAAUUAAAAUCACUCAAAUUCACAAUCCAUUCAACAUAUCAAAACCCCAAAUGAGAAUGACUUACAUCAAAAGAAUCCACACUUGCAAUCUCGAAAUCGGAUUCCUCAUCGACGUUUAUUUCUCUUGCAGAUGCGGUGAGAAUGGAGAAAACAAGGAAGAUGAGUAGGAGCUUCAUGGUUGAAUUGAAUUGAAUUGAAGUAGAGAUGAGGUUGAAGAGAUGAGUAUGAAUUUAUGGGGUAGUGAGAGAAGGUAAUUGUUGGGAG